rnacentral:rRNA from 1 species
AUUGAACGCUGGCGGAAUGCUUUACACAUGCAAGUCGAACGGUAGAGGGGGCAACCCCUCGAGAGUGGCGAACGGGUGAGUAAUAUAUCGGAACGUGCCCAGUCGUGGGGGAUAACGUAGCGAAAGUUACGCUAAUACCGCAUACGAUCUAAGGAUGAAAGCGGGGGAUCGCAAGACCUCGCGCGAUUGGAGCGGCCGAUAUCAGAUUAGGUAGUUGGUGGGGUAAAGGCUCACCAAGCCAACGAUCUGUAGCUGGUCUGAGAGGACGACCAGCCACACUGGAACUGAGACACGGUCCAGACUCCUACGGGAGGCAGCAGUGGGGAAUUUUGGACAAUGGACGCAAGUCUAAUCCAGCCAUUCCGCGUGCAGGAUGAAGGCCCUCGGGUUGUAAACUGCUUUUGUACGGAACGAAAAGGUCUCUCUUAAUACGGGGGACUCAUGACGGUACCGUAAGAAUAAGCACCGGCUAAUUACGUGCCAGCCGCCGCCGUAAGAC